GGGUAAGGCCACGAACAGCUGGCCUCAGCCCUGCCAGAGCAAAUGGGAAGUCUCCUCAAGUGCUAUAAGCCCCUCACCUCUUUCCGCUUCUCUCCGCCACCGCACUCUCUGCUACGUUCAAUUCAAUUCCGAACUCACUUUUCUCGCACCUUCUCCGUCUCCAGGAAGCGAACUUUAUGUCGCCUUGUCAGCUCAUAUCGGCCCUUAAUCAACGACAAAGUUAAUGCUGGUGAUGGAGCGGUCACCCCAUCAUUAUCAUCGGCGGAGCUGUGGCUUUACAAUACAAUGAGCAGAAAGAAGGAGCUUUUUAAGCCCAAAGUGGAUGGAAAAGUUGGGAUGUACGUUUGUGGUGUUACCGCUUACGAUCUUAGCCAUAUUGGCCACGCUCGCGUCUACGUCACUUUCGAUGUUCUCUACAGAUAUCUUAGGCAUUUGGGAUUCGAAGUGUGCUAUGUUCGAAAUUUCACUGAUGUUGAUGAUAAGAUAAUUGCCCGAGCCAAUGAAUUGGGAGAGGAUCCAAUCAGUUUGAGCAGACGUUACUGUGAAGAAUUCCAUCAUGAUAUGGUGUAUCUUCACUGCCUGCACCCUUCUGUUGAGCCACGUGUGUCAGAUCACAUGCCCCAAAUAAUUGAAAUGAUCAAGCAGAUUCUUGAUAAUGAGUGUGCCUACAGAAUUGAUGGCGAUGUUUACUUCUCCGUAGACAAAUUUCCUGAAUAUGGACAAUUAUCUGGGCGAAAAUUAGAAGAUAAUAGAGCAGGUGAGCGAGUGGCUGUGGACUCAAGGAAGAAAAAUCCUGCUGAUUUUGCAUUGUGGAAGUCUGCAAAGGAAGGUGAACCUUUUUGGGAGAGUCCAUGGGGGCCUGGAAGACCUGGAUGGCAUAUUGAGUGCAGUGCCAUGAGUGCUGCUUAUCUUGGUCACUCUUUUGACAUUCAUGGUGGGGGAAUGGACCUUGUGUUUCCCCACCAUGAAAAUGAGAUUGCCCAGAGUUGUGCUGCAUGCAGAGAUAGUAGCAUAAGCUACUGGAUACAUAAUGGCUUUGUCACUGUUGACUCUGAGAAAAUGUCCAAAUCACUUGGAAACUUUUUUACGAUUAGGCAGGUUAUAGAUCUUUAUCAUCCACUGGCUUUGAGACUUUUCUUGUUGGGGACCCACUAUCGAUCUCCAAUCAACUACUCUAAUGUACAGCUUGAGAGUGCUUCAGAACGUAUUUUUUACAUAUAUCAGACAUUACAUGAUUGUGAAACUGUCAUCAGCCAGCAUGACAUGGCAUUUGAGAAGGAUUCUGUCCCACCUGAUAUUUUAGAUGGCAUUAAUAGGUUCCAUAAUGUGUUUGUUGCCUCCAUGUCAGAUGAUCUUCACACCCCUGUUUUGUUGGCAGCAUUGUCUGAUCCACUAAAAAUAAUCAAUGAUAUGAUACAUACCAGAAAGGUAACAAGAUUCAGAUACAUUCUCUAUUGUUUUUGUAAAGUAUUAUUACGUGGAGAUGUUGGGUUUACACUCUGGAGGCAGCUCUGCUAGGUUCUUAAAAUGUAGAGAUACCUUGAGCAACAAUCUAAGCGUGUUCGAUUUCUGGAAUCUAAAGUAAAUUCUGUCAAAUACUUCCUUUCACAUUAAUUUAUUCAGUUUCUGUGAUCCUCACUCCCCUUCACUGUCUGCUUCUCUGUCUGUUGAUAUUUGUGUUGCUUAUUAUUUACUGGUGAUUCAUGCAGGGGAAGAAACAGGCAAAGCGAAUUGAAUCACUUGCUGCUCUAGAAAAGAUAGUCAAGAAUGCUCUGUGUGUCUUGGGGUUGAUGCCCACAACAUAUUCUGAGGUUCUGCAGCAAAUGAGGGAAAAGUCACUGAGGCGUGCAAAGUUAACAGAAGACCAAGUAUUGCAAAAAAUUGAAGAAAGAAAUGUAGCAAGGAAGAACAGAGACUAUGAAAAAUCAGAUGCCAUUAGGAAGGAUUUGGCUACUCUGGGAAUUGCUCUUAUGGAUAGUCCAGAUGGCACAAGUUGGAGACCAGCUAUUCCUCUUGCACUGCAAGAGCAGCAAGUUGCUGCAACUUGAAUGUUUUGCUGGGCUUCUCAUUAUGACUUUAUGGUUGUGAUACUUUAUUUUGAUAUUAAAGUAUAUUUUUCUUUGUAUUAAACUUAGGAAAUUAGUUUGGAAUUUGGGAAUUAGGGAUAAUGCUUAUAAACGGGAUUAAAUUGAGAUGGCAAUAAGAUAAACCCUGAAUUUCAUUUACCAUGGGGUAGAUUCUUUGACAACAAUGUAAUGGUACAUUCUUUAAAUGUGCCAUAUAACAGCUAUACAUUUGAAGCUGACUAGUGACUACUGAAAAUUAUUUUCUGAUGAACAUCUAUAAUUUGUCUAGGACGUCCUUAGUCCAGAUGCUUUUAUUUUCCUUUUCUAGUUGUGUUUGGUCGCUGUUAUUCUGAAAAUAUAGUAGAUGGAGGGGAAGAAAGCCUGCUGGAUAAUCAAUUUUGGUUUUGCAUACUUCAAUUUGGAAUCCUGACAUCAAUUUUUAUACGCUAAUGUUUUUUGUUUAAUUAAAAUGGUGCACUAUAUCUUUAAACAAAUCUGGUCUCUCAAUUUUCACACGGCCCAGUGGACAAUUGUGUCGUGGCUUAAGUCAUAGAUGGUUACAGAUCUGGUAGCAUCUUUGCAUAAGUUUGUUUCAUAUAUUAAGCCAUCAUUUGCAAACAUCUUCGAGCUUUAUUAACCUGUUACAGUACUACAUCAUGAAUUCUGACAUCUUUUAGCUAAAGGUAGGAAAGUUUUGCGCAAUUGCUUUGAAUCUCAUUGCUAUACAUGAAGAAGCAGAAUUAAUCAUUUUUUACUCACUUAUACACAGGCAGGAACUGUUAUAUUAGUAAUCUGAGCAAAUACAAUAGAGAAAGGAGCAACAGUUAUUGGAUUGGAGAGGCCAACUCUUAUCGGAUCCAAGGGAGGAAUUGCUCCAGAUGAAUUUACAGUAAGUAUUUUCCCGUUUAAAAGUACACUUUGGCUGUGAAGGUCGCCAUCCUUGGCUGUUAAAUGAUAUUCUUCCCUUGUAUUUUCAUCAAGUUUAGAACCUCUAGUUAUUGUAGCGAAUUUUGCUCUUCGAUUUUGGUAUUCUUGCAGUAUCCAAGUGCCAUUUCUGGCAACAUUUUCAGUAGAAAUGCUGACUUGAACUGUAGUGUUACCAUCUAGGUUGAUCAAGAGCAAUGUGAUGCCUUGCUGUAGUAAUGAAAAUCCAGAGUAUUAGCCUAGCAAAUGUGUAUGCAUUUGUUUGCCGAUUUAAGUUUAAGAAUUUACUCACAGUUGCUUUUGAGCAGUGAGCAUAAGCACGUAUUUUCUUUGUCCCUGAGAAACUUGUGGACAGGGCAUUUUGUCCCAUCAAACGGUGCCACAGAAGAGCACUGAAAAUGUAAACAAAUAAUAUAAUGUUAGCAAUGCACAUGUACUGAUGUACGGAUUAACUUUAAUCAGUGAGGCCUAGAAGGUGGUGACUUAACAUCUCACACGCAAAAGCCCUUAGAUUCAUCAAAGAUUUUCUUGUGUGGAGAUUGGUAAAUGUAUCUUCUGUGGAUUUGGGUAAUCAAGGAUUCUUUAAAUUCCCUUUUUUAGGCUAGACAUAGAUCCACUUGAAAAUAUAACAUUCUUUGAAACUAUUUUUGACAAAGCUCUUUUGUUGUUUUACUCUUUGAUUAUGUUCAAGUAAAAAAUGUUCUUUUUUCUCUUAUUGUUCUCUUCUGUAAGGAAUGGAAUAGGUGAGGAAUUUUGAAGAUCAAGCAUUACCUGUAGUAAUCAGGAUUUGGGACAAAGGUGGUGGUGUUGAGGAGGCCGUAGUUUCCACCAAUCAAUGUCUGUCUACAAUAUGUUUUUGUAUCAUAAGAUGAUGCCAUUCCUAGUUGGUCCAAGUACCAGAAACUGAACACAAAUGCAUUUGUGACAAGAUUAUGGCCACUGUUGUAAGCACCUCCUGCCUCUCCAACCCAAGCAACUGCCCGUGUCCCUGAACCCUUCAAAAUUCCUUGAAGGCUGCUAAACGGCUGAGAGCCGCCAUCUAGAUAAGAUGGAUCUAAGAUCUUGUCAAUGAGAUGAUCAUCAACACCUGGACCAAGGUUAUAGAUGUGUUGGGUGACUACUUGAAGAGAUUUAGGCGUUUUUUCUAUGAAUUUUGUAAACCAAUUCGCAUCAAAGAACCCUCCAGGUGCUAUGACUAGUGGUUUAUCUUCAAAACCUGCAUGAAUGUUUUCCACUAUGUUUUGCAAAGUGGUUACAUCAGAUGCAUAUUGAUCUGCUGCAACUAUAGCUCCAACUCCAUUCCCACUCAGUUCAUUUCCUAGCUCCCAGCCAUGAAUUCUGUAGCCCCUAUUCACAGAGUAUCGAAUAAGAGAUUCGGCAUCACUUGGAUCCCAUGCUCCAACAGCGGAACCAUCAGAAGCUAUGGUCCUGCCCUUUAGUGCAUUUAACCCAAAAAUAACAACAGCACCAGCUUGUUUGAAGAAAGUGUUUAAUUCAUCCCAUCGAGACAUAGAUAAGCAACCUUGGGAGAAACUAAACAUCUCUGAGCUGUUCUUGACAAAUGUAGUGCAAGGUUCACCUUGUCUCUCAUAUAUGACUUUAUCUUGUAAGGUGCCCCCCAUUCUAAUUUUCAGAGGAGAAAAAGCUUUAAUGGCAUUUAGCAAUAUUGGGUUGGUAAGAUCCUGCAAAAAUUUUGAAUAGAAAUCGAAGAAAGGGAUUAGAUGCAUAAAAAAGGAUAUAAUAUCCUGGAAUACGUAUAUGGGAUAUUCUUCACUAUCACCCCUUCUCUUCUCAGGCAGGCUUUUAACAACUUGUUCUCAGAUAACUUAUAUGAGCUCAAUUCUAUGAGACCAUGUGAAACAUCUGCUUGAAUUUGAAAGUUUCAACAUUCAAUAUCAUAUAAAAUAUCUAGUUUCUACUGCUUUGUACAAUCUGCAUAUAAUGUAUGCAUAUUCUUGUGAAUUUGCUUUGUUGAAUAUGAACAAGGAACAUAGGAGAUCGGAGAACUAGACAUGGAACUGUCUAAAUAAGCAAUAUUUGACCAGAACUGGCAAUGAAAAACUCAAGGUAAAUCUUCAAUUUGUAUUUGCCAAAAUCCUGCCUAGGAAUUGGUUAUGCAGAUCAAUUCUGCUAAGUGAGAACUCAAAACAACUAGAAAACUUACCAGAUUAAGAAGGGAAGCUCUGCCC
rnacentral:misc_RNA from 1 species